CUCUAACUGCCCUCUCAGAUACAUGUAAAAUAUCGCAAACAGUUAUUGAAAGCAGAGCAAGUUCCUGGAGUUCUGGCCGAUUAGGUAAUCAAUCUUUUGAGUGCAUCAGGAUCUUGCACAGGCAGCAUGAUGGUACUGCUCCAGCAGCUGGAGGUGUCUGCUGUGGACAGCCCACAUCUCAGAGACAUAUAGGAGGGCAGCAACCACCACAGCUCUGUAUACCACAAACCUGGUGUCAGAAUGAAUGUUACUCAGCCUGCUAAAGCCACAAGGGACAUCCUGAGAGACAACCCGUUCGGAAUGGAACUCCCCUGCUCUGGGCAGCUGCCAUUGAAAAUGUGGAGGUACCACUUGUGGUCUGGAUCGCAAGGCAGUUUGGCCUGUCUGUUUGAAAGGGGCCAAGAGUGCUACAAGUGCUCUCAUCUUUGUUCUUUUGCAGCCCUGUGUUCAGUUUUAAAGCCCAAGCCUAUUUUUCAGAGAGUGGUAAUUGGAGAUUAGGGAAAGCAACUCGAGAUCAUGGCAGCCAGCCUCCCUGUGAAACUUGGGGUACACUGGCUCCCGUUGGUUGAUGAAUAAAUCUGUCAUUCUGCUGAGUUGAGCUAUCAAUAGAUUUGCUGGAUUUGUGCUG